UACAGAGGUCUCAAGCGUUGUUCGGAUUCAUUGGGCGUAAAGGGUGCGUAGGCGGCGCGGUAAGUCGGGUGUGAAAUCUCGGAGCUUAACUUCGAAACUGCAUUCGAUACUGCCGUGCUUGAGGACUGGAGAGGAGACUGGAAUUUACGGUGUAGCAGUGAGAUGCGUAGAGAUCGUAAGGAAGACCAGUGGCGAAGGCGGGUCUCUGGACAGUUCCUGACACUGAGGCACGAAGGCCAGGGGAGCAAACGGG
rnacentral:rRNA from 1 species